rnacentral:ncRNA from 1 species
GCCUAAAGAGUAACGAAAGCGUGUGAAGGUAAGCUCAAACUGGUCAGAAAUCAAUCUAAGAGCGCAAUGGUAUAAGCUUGCCUGACUGUGAGACACGCACAUCGAGCAGGUACGAAAGUAGGCCAUAGUGACCUGGGAGUACCAUGUGGAAGGGCUCUCGCUUAAU